UUUCACAUAUGAUGCUGAGGCUAUUAGAGGAUGGCUGAGAAGUGGCCACAAUACUUCCCCCAUGACAAAUCUUAAACUUGCGCACUGCAGCCUACUCCCUAAUCAUGCUCUUCAUCAGGCAAUUCAAGAGUGGCAGCAACGUUGGUGAAUUUUUAUUAUUAUAUGAGAUGAGAUGUAUGCACAGUGGUUAAAGUACAAAGCUCCCAACUGNCAGACCUUGAUACCCAUUAAAAUUAAACAUAACAUGAUGUAUAGAGCAACAGCACGCCG
rnacentral:misc_RNA from 1 species